rnacentral:tRNA from 1 species
GAGCUGUUUGAAAAUUUGGCCUUCUGCCACUCUUAAUCAGCGGGUCGUAGGUUCGACCCCUACACGGCCCACCA